GACGAACGCUGGCGGCGUGCUUAACACAUGCAAGUCGAACGGUAAGGCCCUUCGGGGUACACGAGUGGCGAACGGGUGAGUAACACGUGGGUGAUCUGCCCUGCACUUCGGGAUAAGCCUGGGAAACUGGGCCUCAUACCGGGUAGGACCACUGCCUGCAGGGGUGGUGGUGGAAAGCUUUUGCGGUGUGGGAUGGGCCCGCGGCCUAUCAGCUGUUUGGGGGGGUGAUGGCCUACCAAGGCGACGACGGGUAGCCGGCCUGAGAGGGUGACCGGCCACACUGGGACUGAGAUACGGCCCAGACUCCUACGGGAGGCAGCAGUGGGGAAUAUUGCACAAUGGGCGCAAGCCUGAUGCAGCGACGCCGCGUGAGGGAUGACGGCCUUCGGGUUGUAAACCUCUUUCAGCACCGACGAAGCGCAAGUGACGGUAGGUGCAGAAGAAGGACCGGCCAACUACGUGCCAGCCGCCGCCGUAA
rnacentral:rRNA from 1 species